rnacentral:lncRNA from 1 species
AUUGUUUGUAUAGUACAUAUAGUCUUUGUUAAUCUGUGAAAAAUAUAAGAAAAUAAUUUUAAACGACGACCAACGGCAUUACGGGAUCGUUAAAAGACGGCCAAUUUGACAUGUUUGAGAUUUUUUUUUCCUUUUGAUAAUAAACUCCAUGCUUAACAAAUCGAAAUAAAUCUAUUUCAGACCCUAAUGGCAAGUAGGAAACUGAAAAAAAGAUAAACUUCCAAAUUGGCGGAAAUAAAAAAUCCGCGAAAUUAACGCAAUUUCAGAAUGGCGGGUUUUAAUAUCAGUCCCAUUGUUGUCUUAAGAAAGUAGCAACAACGGUCGUUUCUAAGGGCUUGCUUUCCGAC